rnacentral:rRNA from 1 species
GAUGAACGCUGGCGGCGUGCCUAAUACAUGCAAGUCGAGCGAACGGACGAGAAGCUUGCUUCUCUGAUGUUAGCGGCGGACGGGUGAGUAACACGUGGAUAACCUACCUAUAAGACUGGGAUAACUUCGGGAAACCGUAGCUAAUACCGGAUAAUAUUUUGAACCGCAUGGUUCAAAAGUGAAAGACGGUCUUGCUGUCACUUAUAGAUGGAUCCGCGCUGCAUUAGCUAGUUGGUAAGGUAACGGCUUACCAAGGCAACGAUGCAUAGCCGACCUGAGAGGGGGAUCCGCCCCGCGAGGACAGAGAGACGAUCCAGACUCGUACGGGGGCCCGGAGUAGGGACUCAUCCGAGAGGGGAGAAGGCCUGACGGGGCAACGGCGCGUGAGUGAUGAAGGUCGUGGGCUGGUAAACCUCUGUUAGUUGGGAAGAACAUAUGUGUAUGUACGUGUGGAGAUUGAGAGUAUAGGGAAAAAAAGCGCCGGCUAAAUCCGUG